CGAAGAUGUAAAAUGUGCUGAUGGUCGCCAAUGCAUAUGGAAGCCUGCAGUAUGUAAUGAUUACAUUUCAUGUAACGAUGGCUCAGAUGAAAGCGCGACUACCUGUAAAGGGCGCCCUUGUGCAGGCACGAAGGUGAAUUGUGCAGAUCAGACUCAAUGUAUAUUUAUUUGGGAACAAUGUGAUGGGAAAACAGUUCAUUGUCGUGAUGGAUCUGAUUACCAAGAGAAUCUGUGUAGAAAUUACACAUGUACAUAUCCAGGUGCUGACUUAAAAUGUGCUGAUGAUUUACAAUGUUUUUCCUUUCUUCAUCUUUGUGAUGGGAAACGAGAUUGUAAUGAUGGAUCAGAUGAGACAUUUCAUGUCUGUAAAACCAGAAAUUGUGGAUGGAGAGAACGUUCCUGUGAUAAUGGGAACUGUGUUUACAUCCGUCAGUUUUGUGAUGGAAAGGAUGAUUGCGGAGAUAAUUCUGAUGAA